UACGUAGGGGGCUAGCGUUGUCCGGAAUCAUUGGGCGUAAAGCGCGUGUAGGCGGUCCGGUAAGUCCGCUGUGAAAGUCGGGGGCUCAACCCUCGGAUGCCGGUGGAUACUGUCGGGCUUGAGUACGGAAGAGGCGAGUGGAAUUCCUGGUGUAGCGGUGAAAUGCGCAGAUAUCAGGAGGAACACCAGCGGCGAAGGCGGCAUCCUGGCCCGUACCUGACGCUGAGGCGCGAGAGCGUGGGGAGCAAACCGG
rnacentral:rRNA from 1 species